rnacentral:rRNA from 1 species
AUUGAACGCUGGCGGCGUGCCUAACACAUGCAAGUCGAGCGGCAGCGCGGGAGCAAUCCUGGCGGCGAGCGGCGGACGGGUGAGUAAUGCUUGGGAAUCUGCCUGUUAGUGGGGGGACAACCCGGGGGAAACUCGGGCUAAUACCGCAUACGCACUACGGUGGAAAGCCGGGGACCGCAAGGCCUGGCGCUAACAGAUGAGCCCAAGUCGGAUUAGCUAGUUGGUAGGGUAACGGCCACCAAGGCGACGAUCCGUAACUGGUCUGAGAGGACGACCAGUCACACCGGAACUGAGACACGGUCCGGACUCCUACGGGAGGCAGCAGUGGGGAAUAUUGGACAAUGGGGGAAACCCGUGAUCCAGCGACGCCGCGUGGGUGAAGAAGGCCUGCGGGUUGUAAAGCCCUUUCAGUGGGGAAGAAAAGCCUCGACCUAACACGUCGGGGUCUUGACGUAACCCAUAGAAGAAGCACCGGCUAACGUCUGU